AACGAGCGCUGGCGGCAUGCCUAACACAUGCAAGUCGAACGAGACCUUCGGGUCUAGUGGCGCACGGGUGCGUAACGCGUGGGAACCUGCCCUUAGGUUCGGAAUCACUCCCCGAAAGGGGUGCUAAUACAGGAUAAUGUCAUCGGACCAAAGAUUUAUCGCCUUUGGAUGGGCCCGCGUUGGAUUAGCUAGUUGGUAGGGUAAAAGCCUACCAAGGCGACGAUCCAUAGCUGGUCUGAGAGGAUGAUCAGCCACACUGGGACUGAGACACGGCCCAGACUCCUACGGGAGGGAGCAGUGGGGAAUAUUGGAGAAUGGGCGAAAGCCUGAUCAAGCAAUGCCGCGUGAGUGAUGAAGGCCUUAGGGUUGUAAAGCUCUUUUACCCGGGAUGAUAAUGACAGUACCGGGAGAAUAAGCUCCGGCUAACUCCGUG
rnacentral:rRNA from 1 species